UGCCCAGGGAAUGCAGAUGGAAAUUAGCUUUUAGCUAUAAUGUGGUGCAGGUCAUCUUUUUUUUUACUAUGUAACUAAUGUACUUUGCACAUGGUCCCUGAUGAAAUAAACCAAUAAACUAAACUAAUUGUAAACAUGGAUGCCAAUUGUACUAAAUAUUUUCACAGUGAAAUCCCAAUAACUAUUAUUCAUAAUUAUUUAUUCUUUUUCUGCUGUAGGACUCAAAUGAAGGGACAGGACUUCUACUCUGCUGGGUCGGCCUCACUACAUAUUCAAGAAGCCCUCGGACGUCAUCAGAAUGUAUUAAUGUGAAGAGGCAACAAGGGAGAGAUGAACGCUAUCAAAAAUGUGGAGAUGGAUCUGGCAGCCGACCGCUUUGGCACACACCCAACAAGAAACAAAACAAUAAAGAAUACUAAAAUGCAUAA